AGCGAACGUUAGCGGCGGGCUUAACAUAUGCAAGUCGAGCGAGAAAGCGUCCUUCGGGGCGUUAGUAAAGCGGCGCACGGGUGAGUAACACGUGGGUAACCUGCCCUUCGGUGGGGGACAACAGCUCGAAAGGGCUGCUAAUACCGCAUUCGUCGGUGACGGCUUCGGCUGUUACCGGGAAAGAUGGGGAUCGUAAGACCUAUCGCCGAAGGAGGGGCCCGCGGCCCAUCAGCUUGUUGGUGAGGUAACGGCUCACCAAGGCUCAGACGGGUAGCUGGUCUGAGAGGAUGAUCAGCCACACUGGGACUGAGACACGGCCCAGACUCCUACGGGAGGCAGCAGUGGGGAAUAUUGGACAAUGGGCGAAAGCCUGAUCCAGCCACGCCGCGUGUGUGAUGAAGGCCUUCGGGUCGUAAAGCACUGUGGGGAGGGAAGAACAGGUAGUCAGCUAAUAUCUGGCUAUUCUGACGGUACCUCCUUAGCAAGCACCGGCUAACUCCGUGCCAGCAGCCGCGGUAAUACGGAGGGUGCAAACGUUGCUCGGAAUCAUUGGGCGUAAAGCGCGUGUAGGCGGCUUGUUAAGUCGGGUGUGAAAGCCCUGGGCUCAACCCAGGAAGUGCGCCCGAAACUGGCGAGCUAGAGUACGGGAGAGGGUAGUGGAAUUCCCGGUGUAGAGGUGAAAUUCGUAGAUAUCGGGAGGAACACCAGUGGCGAAGGCGGCUACCUGGACCGAUACUGACGCUGAGACGCGAAAGCGUGGGUAGCAAACAGGAUUAGAUACCCUGGUAGUCCACGCCGUAAACGAUGAGUGCUAGGUGUUGCGGGUAUUGACCCCUGCAGCGCCGCAGCUAACGCAUUAAGCACUCCGCCUGGGGAGUACGGCCGCAAGGCUA
rnacentral:rRNA from 1 species